rnacentral:rRNA from 1 species
AUUGAACGCUGGCGGCAUGCCUUACACAUGCAAGUCGAACGGUGAUCUUGGGAGCUUGCUCCUGGGUGAUCAGUGGCGAACGGGUGAGUAACACGUGAGUAACCUGCCCCUGACUCUGGAAUAACUUCGGGAAACCGAAGCUAAUACCGGAUAUGACACAGAGCCGCAUGGUUUCUGUGUGGAAAGUUUUUUCGGUUGGGGAUGGACUCGCGGCCUACCAGCUUGUUGGUGAGGUAAUGGCUCACCAAGGCGACGACGGGUAGCCGGCCUGAGAGGGCGACCGGCCACACUGGGACUGAGACACGGCCCAGACUCCUACGGGAGGCAGCAGUGGGGAAUAUUGCACAAUGGGCGAAAGCCUGAUGCAGCGACGCCGCGUGAGGGAUGAAGGCCUUCGGGUUGUAAACCUCUUUCAGUAGGGAAGAAGCGCAAGUGACGGUACCUACAGAAGAAGCACCGGCUAACUACGUGCCAGCAGCCGCGGUAACAC